rnacentral:piRNA from 1 species
GGAGACAAUGUAUGAAAAGAAUGGAC